rnacentral:rRNA from 1 species
UGGCGGACGGGUGAGUAAUGUCUGGGAAACUGCCCGAUGGGGGGGGAUAACUACUGGAAACGGUAGCUAAUACCGCAUAACGUCGCAAGACCAAAGAGGGGACCUUCGGGCCUCUUGCCAUCGGAUGUGCCCAGAUGGGAUUAGCUAGUAGGUGGGGUAACGGCUUACCUAGGCGACGAUCCCUAGCUGGUCUGAGAGGAUGACCAGCCACACUGGAACUGAGACACGGUCCAG